AUUGAACGCUGGCGGCAGGCUUAACACAUGCAAGUCGAGCGGAGCGAGGGUGCUUGCACCUUAGCUUAGCGGCGGACGGGUGAGUAAUGCUUAGGAAUCUGCCUAUUAGUGGGGGACAACAUUCCGAAAGGGAUGCUAAUACCGCAUACACCCUACGGGGGAAAGCAGGGGAUCUUCGGACCUUGCGCUAAUAGAUGAGCCUAAGUCGGAGUAGCUAGUUGGUGGGGUAAAGGCCUACCAAGGCGACGAUCUGUAGCGGGUCUGAGAGGAUGAUCCGCCACACUGGGACUGAGACACGGCCCAGACUCCUACGGGAGGCAGCAGUGGGGAAUAUUGGACAAUGGGCGGAAGCCUGAUCCAGCCAUGCCGCGUGUGUGAAGAAGGCCUUUUGGUUGUAAAGCACUUUAAGCGAGGAGGAGGCUACUAGUAUUAAUACUACUGGAUAGUGGACGUUACUCGCAGAAUAAGCACCGGCUAACUCUGUGCCAGCCGCCGCCGUAAAAC
rnacentral:rRNA from 1 species